rnacentral:lncRNA from 10 species
AAGACAGUUAUUGCCUCAACUUACAGCUCAUCCAAGAUCAACUGCAGAGGAGGACGAGGGAAAUUUUAUAUGGGAACAAUUAUCUGAAAAAUACAAUAGAAGGCAACUGGAAAAGAGGCAAGGAUUCUAACUACAUACUGCAGAAAAAAUAUUCACACCUGUCAAAUUCCAACAGCUGGCAUUGUUGUUGUUCUACGAAUAAGCACACACAGAAUCCUCGUGAAUAGUUCUUUGUCUCUUGCUCUAGUAAAUCAUAACCUGCUUGUAGCUUUUUUAUGAACCUUCAGGAAUAACUCUUCAGAGGAUGCUAAUACAUCAUUAAGAUUAAAUUGAACCUCAAAGGUGGGUUUUUUUUCCAAAAUGAUAAAGGCCACCAACACUGCAAGGUUUGCCGUCAUUCCCUUGAUCUGGUAAGUGACACCGUCUUCAGGGUUUGUGUACUCAAAGAUAUGAUUAAUAAAACGGUGACCAAGACGUGUGACGUAAUGCUGGUCAUGGACCUGUGGAUGCAGGAAAUAGGCCAGAGGCACCAGGAAUACAUCCUUAACUUCAGCAGGAUUCGGCUGGGCCUGGAAGUUGUGGUCUAUUAAACCCACAAAUGGAGUUAUCAAUGUAUCUGUCUAAAAGCAGAAAACAAAACAGACAAAUUAAGAAGUGAAGUGAUACUGCUUCAAAUCCUAAAAUCAUGCCACUUCUAGGUGAGCUAAGAAAAUACACCGAACCUGGGAGAAGGGGAAGAAAGCUUAUUCCGGAAACAAAUUUAUGUUCCCCCUAAAAUGGGAGUCAUCCUGCUCUACCUGAGGUGACAUCUAUGAGAUGACUCUGAAAAUGAUUUCUUGUAUGAACAUAAAGUAGUACAAUCUUUUGGAAUGGCAAUUUGGCAGUAUCAUAAAAAUGUGUUCGCUUUGACCUGGGAAUUGCAUUUGUGUAUCUGUAUGAUAAAUUCCUACCAGUAAGAAAAGACACAAGUAUAAACCUGAAGAAUUAGUUUCAACAACAGCCCCAAAUUCUAAAGUUAUCACUCUUCACUUUAUAGGCAUUUAGGUUAUAUAAAUUAGGGUUAUAUCCAUAAAAGAGGAUACUAUGUAGCCUUUAAAAACAAUGGGAUAGACAUCUUUCCUUCUCAGUAAAGAAAAAAAUGUGCUAUACUUAUGAACAGAAAAGUAAAGUGAUAUAAUACUAGUUAUGACAUAUUCCCAUUUAUGGAAAAAUUUCAUAGUACAUACACAUAUAUAUAUAAUUAUGUGUCUUAUAUAUAACUAUAUGUGAACUACUUUAUAUAACACACAUGUAUAUAUUACAUGGGAGAGGGAUUUCUAUUUACAACCACAACUGCUUGCAAAUGAACAUGAGUGGCCGGGUGUGGUGGCUCACGCCUGUAAUCCCAGCACUUUGGGAGGCUGAGGUGGGCGGACCACCUGAGGUCAGGAGUUUGAGACCAGCCUAGCCAACAUGAUGAAAUCCCGUCUCUACUAAAAAUACACAAAUUAGCCGGGUGUGGUGGUGCGUGCCUGUAAUCCCAGCUACUCAGGAGGCUGAGGCAGGAGAAUUGCUUGAACUUGGGAGGCGGAGAUAGAUUGCAGUGAGCCGAGAUCAUGCCACUGCACUCCAGCCUGGGUGACAGAGAGAGGCCCAGUCUCAAAAAUAAAAAUAAAUAUAUAAAAGUAAAAAAGCAAAUGAACAUGAGUGUUGUCAAAUGAAAGACUGUUUUGUUAUACUGGAAACCCUGAGAGGGAGGCCUGGGGCUGAGUGAGGAUGUGGGAACUGGUAAGAGCUGCCUGCCUUUGUAUUAGAAAGUGAGAAGAACUGGAAUUCCUGGAGCAUCCCAAGAGGAAGUGGGUGGAAAAAGCCAGAGAGGUAGACACAUGGUGAGGCUGGGACCUAUCCGGCCUGCAGAAUGUUCUGAGGGACAGCCAAAGACAGGAAACCAAAUUUAGGAACAGAGACAACUCAGACCAUUAACCAAAAUAAUAGUGAAAGUCAACAUUUGGACCAGGAGGAGACAAGAGGAACAUAGACUUCGUAUGUCCUUGGGGCAGGAAAUUUGGGGUCAUUAAGUUACCCGAGGGCAGAGGCAACAUUCUACCAGCACGUAACACCACACCUGGCAUUGGGGAAAUGCUUAGUCUCUGAAUAUGGAGUUUUCCAGGUGGACUCUGAGAUAAGGACUCAGAUGCAAGUGAUUUUUUAAGAAAGUGCUCCCAGGGGAAACAGUUAAGGGGAAGAGGGGAGCAAUACUCAUAAGGGAAGAAGGCUGGCAAGGGCACCAUGGGGUGUUCUGGAGGGUAAAUUAAUAUGCAGUUUGUCCCACAUGGAGACAAGGGAGCUGGGAUUUCAUGCUCCCCAGCCCCAGUCAGUCACUGGUUAAGGACUACCUUGCCAGAGGUGAAUUCACAGGCACUCCCAGCUCUCUGUGCAGGACACAUGGCAAGGUGGCUCCAGUAUCAAGGGUACCAGUAUUCAGAAGAAAGCUGCCAAGUGUUGUCAGAGGCGUUUGAACCAGAGCAACUCCAUCUUGAAUAGGGGCUGGGUAAGAUAAGGCUUGGAGCUACUGGGCUGCAUUCCCAGGAGGUUAGGGCAUGCUUAGUCACCAGAUGAGACUGAGAUACAAGUCAUAAAGACCUUACAGUAAAGAAGGCCAUCAAAACGCACCAAAACCAAGAUGGCAAUGAAAGUAACCUCUGGUCAUCCUCACUGCUCAUUAUACGAUAAUUAGAAAGCAUUAGAAUGUUAAAAGAUACUCCCACUAGUGCCAUGACAGAUUACAAAUGCCACGGCAAUGUCAGGAAGUUACCCUACAUGGUCUAAAAAUGGGAGGAACUCUCACCUCUGGGAAUUGCCCAUCCCUUUCCUGGAAAACUCAUGAAUAACCCACCCCUUGUUUAGCAUAUGAUCAAGAAAUAACCAUAAAAAUGGCCAACCAGCAGCACAUGCUGUUGCUCUGUUAUGGAAUAGCCAUUCUUUUUUUUCUUUACUUCUCUAAUAAACUUGCUUUCACUUUAUGGACUCACCCUGUGAGAUCCUAGAACCCUCUCUUAGGGUCUGGAUCAGGCCCCCUAUCUGGUAACAGUGAGUUAUCAGAAGCCCUGGGGUUGUAAGAGGAAUAUGAAGGGGCCUGGACAGAGCCCCAACAAUGUAUGCUCAGUAAAUAUUCGUGGUUGCUGCUACCAUUGGUGACCACAACUUACGGGCACCUAGUCUAGUUCCCAGCACCCUCUGAUUCCUUACAACAAUCUGAUCGCGAAGAAGCCUUAACAACUACAAUUAGAGACGUGAAGAAACUUGCCCAAGGGCAUAUUCUGCUGAUACUUGGCAGAAACUGGAUUCGACCACAGAUGUGUUGCUCAUACUCCUGGGUAUAUUUCAGAGACCUUUGCAAAAAGUAGUACAUAAAUGUCUGACAAAAGGGAAAACUGGGGUGGGGGUUGUGGUGUCACAGCCUGCCUGGAAGGCUUAUGUAGCGGGUACAUACAUAGGUGCAUACAUACAUAGGUAGCUACUCUGGAGGCUGAGGCAGGAGAAUUGCUUGAACUUGGGAGGUGGAGGUUGCAGUGAGCUGAGAUCACUGGGACUCGAGAUCACUUGAGAAAAGCCAAUAGCACCCUUCCACUCCCAGCUAUGAUCUCCAGACAUUACCAAAUUCCCCAGGGUUGAAAAAUCACUCCAGGUUAAGAGCCACGUAGAUUAGAUUAUGCUUAUAAUUUUCAAUAAAUGGCAUUUUUGUGAUACAUUUUAAAAAUUAGCAGGGGCCAAAAAACAAAGCAACCCUCCCUUGCACUUCCAAACAAAGCAGACUUUUUAAAGCCUUUGUUUAAUCUCUCAAUCACGCCAUUUUAGAAAUCUCCUGUUCCAGGAGUAUCUGGCCCCCAGGAAUCUCCCAGAGACACUUUCCUGUUAAUGCUCCUGAAUUCUAUCCACCCACAUGCAGAACUCAGUAGCACCUGGGGACCUUGGGAACAGAGUUAGUCUCAUUUUGGAAACUUUUAAUCAGUAUAGCUAAAUUAGUUAAUUGAUUUCUAAAGUAAAUCCUCCAAAUGCUGGUGGAUUUGCGGAAAUCAACUGUAAAGAGUUCCCAUUAGAAAACCAAAUGGAAAAGUAAUUGACACAUUUCGUGUGUAAUCCCAUGUCUCCAUCUCGCUUUCAUACACACACACUUAGAAAACAUUUAUUGAGUGGCCACUAGCUUUUUGCAAACAAAACCACCCUUGGGUACUGACCUUUCUAUUUUUAAAAAGGACCCAAUUAAGACAGACAUUGUCUCAGCAUCACUGAUCUUCAAAACACUGCCCCACCAAGACUUCAGUCAAGUGGAACAUAAAGGAUCAUCUAACCCACUGGUUUUCUAAGUGUUAGGCAACAGUGGGACU